UAUUGGACAAUGGGCGCAAGCCUGAUCCAGCAAUGCCGCGUGAGUGAUGAAGGCCUUAGGGUUGUAAAGCUCUUUUACCCGGGAUGAUAAUGACAGUACCGGGAGAAUAAGCCCCGGCUAACUCCGUGCCAGCAGCCGCGGUAAUACGGAGGGGGCUAGCGUUGUUCGGAAUUACUGGGCGUAAAGCGCACGUAGGCGGCUUUGUAAGUUAGAGGUGAAAGCCCAGGGCUUAACCCUGGAAUUGCCUUUAAGACUGCAUCGCUAGAAUCGUGGAGAGGUGAGUGGAAUUCCGAGUGUAGAGGUGAAAUUCGUAGAUACUCGGAAGAACACCAGUGGCGAAGGCGACUCACUGGACACGUAUUGACGCUGAGGUGCGAAAGCGUGGGGAGCAAACAGG
rnacentral:rRNA from 1 species